UUGCCUUUUUUUUGCCAUCGGUUUGCGUAGAUUGCACAAAAAGCUGAGUCCUUUUUCUCCGACAACAAACACAAAACAAAGAGACCCAUUUGAAAUCGAUUCCUUAUUGAAAAAUUGUUGUUGAUUAGGGAAUCAAACUGGUCGGUGCGAUUCGUGUGUGGCAUCUGCGGAUCGAGGUUUUGUUUCUAUAGAAGAAGCACUUGCAUUUGUUUGAUCUUGCUGCAAAGAUUAAUGUUCAUCCUCAAUCUUAAACAUGCCCCUUUACGUUGAUUGCGAGGCUCCGAAGCUAUGGAGAUGAAUUUACUCAGAAGCGACAUUAGAAGCUUCUCUCCUUGCAGAAAAAUGGAAGCUUGUUCUCGCUGGACUUGUAUUUCAGUACAUUCAUGGACUUGCUGCUCAUGGAGUUCACUACUUACACCGACCUGGUCCAACGCUUCAAGAUGCUGGUUUUUUUAUUCUUCCAGUUAGUAUGCUUGCUUUGACUUUUUUCUUAUCAAUAAUUUGUUGUGUAUCAUAGCUCUGAUUUGUUUUGGUAAAUGAUAUGUGUUCUUCCCAGGCGCUUGGGCAAGACAAAGCCUUUGUCAGUGAAACUGUGUUUGUCACUAGUCUUUUUUUUUUCCUUCAACUCGCUGUAAUGGAUUAAUGGUUCUAAUACCUUGAUUGCAGUGGACUUUCAUCCUUUUGUUUCCCACAGUAAAAAUAUUUGUACAGUUUUGAUAUGGUGCAGAGUUUUUGUUUAUUUAGCAGUAAGUUGCAUUCCCACUACAUUGAUUCUUCUGUUUAUACAUACACAUAAGAUACAAUCUGUUUUUAGUUUAGUUUUUGUCAGUGGUGUUUUAAGCUUUCAUAUGUUUUCAGGCUUCUCAAAGUCUGAGGAUCAUUACAUAUAUUCUUUGCAACACAGAUUCUCAAGGCGUUGGUUUUUUAGUUGUGACUUCGUUUUGGCUGUGUACUGAUUUAUUUCUCCCCUGGUAUAUCCAAUUUCUCUAUUAGGGCUCCAAGCUCGCCAAGAUUUCGCCUCCAAAGAAUGUUCUCGAAGUACUCUUGAUUAACUAUCCUGAUGGAGUGAUAUAUGGUUGUGGAGAUCCAAUAUUUUCAUCACAUACGAUAUUCACUUUAGUCUUUGUACUCACAUAUCAAAGAUACGGCACAGGAAGGUAGAUCAAGCAUUGACUUGGCUUAUGGCAGUUGUACAAAGCCUAUUGAUUAUAGCAUCAAGGAAACAUUACACAGUUGACAUUGUUGUUGCAUGGUCAGAAUAAAAAAGAAGAAAUCAAAUAUCAGUUUUGCAAAAACUGAGUUUCUUAAAUUAUCUUAACAAUUUCGAUCGUUUGUGAACCUUGUGAUGUUCUAGUAGAACAGUUCUACAUUGACAGCAAACUUCCAGAAAUGGCUGAGCGUUCUAGUGGACCUUCUCAGACCCUUUACUUCCACUAAGUACAAAGGAUAGUAAGAACAGGAGCAAAGAGGAUCAUCAGAGACUUCUAAACGAGAACAACGUAGCAGAUGAUCAUUGAUGUUCUCUCCAAUCUCAAAAUCUCAGAGCGGAAUCUUAGUUAGAAACUAUGCUGGUUGUGUGCAUGUUUAGUCAUAAACUGAACAGAAAUUUCCCAGUUUCAAGCUAUAUAAGAUAUAAAGUUGUUCUUCUUUCUGGUUGUGUAAACUUAAUCAUUUGUAGAGAUAGCUUACAAAUAUAGUACCGAACCACCAUUCACGUUCAGUAAACUUGAUAGUUAUGGUGAUGAAAAUUGUAAUCUGUCUCAUCAAUCCAUUCACAUUCGGUAAA